UGUCCAAAGAGGCUGGAGCAUGUCCAAAGAAGGGCAAUGGAGCUGUUGAAGAGCACAAGUCCUUUGAGGAGCAGUUGAGGGUCCUGGGGCUAUUUAGAAAAGGAGGUCCAGGGGGACCUUAUUGCUUCCUACAACUGUCUGAAAGGAUGUUGUAGCAAGAGUACCAGAAAAUCCAAAAAGUUAACUGAUGUGGACUGGAGGUGUCUUCCCCAUCACCACUAAUGAAUGAUCAUUUUCAGCUCUAAAAAUGUUGGGUCUGCCCUCAUUAUCAGGCAGCACAACAAACAGUGACUACAUCACUCUCAUCUGAUGAAGAUACUCUCAAAUCUUCAAGCUAUUUUUCAAUUACUUUGGUUGCUCUUUUGAUGGAAUGUGAAAGAGAAGUGCAGCAGAAAAAUGGUGCAGCCAGCCAGUGUCAUGCACCUUAAUGCAGAAUUAAUGCUUAUGAAAUUUUGAGAUAUGAGUCUAGAGGUGUGCCUUUUGUGCUGGGCAUUGUGGCCCUGUUUGGCUUUAAAUGAGUUGAUAAGAUUUUGAUUGGUUUGAAUUAUUUCUAAAAUGGCCACUGAAUUUGAUUUAUGGUAUUUCAUUGUUUAGUGAACAGAGGCCAGUUCUACCAUUUAGGUAUAUUUCUGCUGAUAAGGAACAAAUAAUGUAAUAGACAUUCCUUCUUUUAUAAACAUAUAAAUUAAGGUGUGGCAAACAGUAGGGCUUUAAUGCAGUUCCUAGUCUCUCAGUUUUGAGCUCUGUAAUGUGAUAAUCCUGGUUUUAGAUA